UGGCUAUAUUACGUAGAUGUUCUUCUGUGGGGUGGAAAAUUCCCGCUCUUGCUGCAAUAACUUCGCAUUCCACCAUUUUAGCUUUCGAGAGAUGACAACUAGAAAGAUGGUUUCUUAUAUUUUCCUGACAAUCACCAAGAGUAACAAUCUCUUUUACCUUUCUAUUUUCACCGCAACAAAUCCCCCCUACGCCAAUAAACGAACAAUUCUUUGUAUUCAUGUUUCAAGAAUAUUACCGAACUGUAUAUGUCUUUACAAGUCAGGAAGUGCUCACAUCCAGCAAUAAAUGUUGAGUCACGUGCACAGGUGUGAGGAAUUGUGAUGAGGGAAAUAGGACAUGCCUGUAUUUGUAUGCGCACAUAUUUUCAUAUUUUUCAGAAAAUGGGAA
rnacentral:lncRNA from 1 species